AACGAACGCUGGCGGCAUGCCUAACACAUGCCAGUCGAACGAACCCUUCGGGUCUUUUGGCGCCCGGGUUCGUCACGCGUGGGAACCUUCCCUUAGGUUCGGACUAACUCCCCGACAGGGGUGCUAAUACCGGAUCAUGUCUUCGGACCAAAAAUUUGUUGACUUUGGAUGGGCCCGCGUUGGAUUAGCUCGUUGGUAGGGUAAAAGCCUACCAAGGCGAGGAUCCAUAGCUGGUUUGAGAGGAUGAUCAGCCACACUGGGACUGAGACACGGCCCAGAAUCCUACGGGAGGCAGGAGUGGGGAAUAUUGGACAAUGGGCGAAAGCAUGAUCCAGCAAUGCCGCGUGAGUGAUGAAGGCCUUAGGGUUGUAAAGCUCUUUUACCCGGGAUGAUAAUGACAGUACCGGGAGAAUAAGCUCCGGCUAACUCCGUG
rnacentral:rRNA from 1 species